ensembl:snoRNA
CUGCAGUGAUGAGUUGCCUCUGGUUUCGCUUGUGUCCGACAAGCUGUGACGACGCAUCUCUCUUGGCUGUCUGAGCAG